rnacentral:rRNA from 1 species
GAUAAACGCUGGCGGCGUGCUUCAGGCAUGCAAGUCGAACGGACCUUCGGGUCAGUGGCGGACGGGUGAGUAACACGUAAGUAACCUGCCCAGAAGUGGGGAAUAACUAGCCGAAAGGCUGGCUAAUACCGCAUGUGAUGGUUGUUCCCUGGAGCAAUCAUGAAUGGCGAAAGUCGCUUCUGGAGGGGCUUGCGGCCGAUUAGCUAGUUGGUGGGGUAAUGGCCUACCAAGGCUUCGAUCGGUAGCUGGUCUGAGAGGACGGACAGCCACACGGGGACUGAGAUACGGCCCCGACUCCUACGGGAGGCAGCAGCUAGGAAUCUUGGGGAUGGGCGAAAGCCUGACCCAGCAACGCCGCGUGGGCGAUGAAGGCCUUCGGGUCGUAAAGCCCUUUUGCAGGGGACGAUGAUGACGGUACCCUGCGAAUAAGCCACGGCUAACUACGUGCCAGCAGCCGCCGUAA